CCAAGUGGCGGACGGGUGAGUAAUGUAUAGUUAAUCUGCCCUUUAGAGGGGGAUAACAGUUGGAAACGACUGCUAAUACCCCAUACUCCUUUUAUCUUAAUGGUAAUUGGGAAACGUUUUUUCGCUAAAGGAUGAGACUAUAUGGUAUCAGGUAGUUGGUGGGGUAAGAGCCUACCAAGCCAAUGACGCCUAGCUGGUCUGAGAGGAUGAUCAGCCACACUGGAACUGAGACACGGUCCAG
rnacentral:rRNA from 1 species